rnacentral:misc_RNA from 1 species
UCCGACUUGCCGCCGGCAGUCUCCUGCGAUAUAUGCAACACAGGACGAGGGUUGCGCUCGUUUACGGACUUAACCGAACACCUCAAGGCACGAGCUGACGACAACCAUGCAACACCUGUCUUCGGGUUCCUUACGGCACUCCCACCUUUCGGCAGGAUUCCCGAGAUGUCAAGCCUGGGUGAGGUUUCUCGUUCAGUGUCGAAUUAAACCACAUGCUCCACUGCUUGUGUGGGUCCCCGUCUAUUCCUUUGAGUUUUAAUCUUGCGAUCGUACUACUCAGGCGGAGAACUUAACGUGUUAACUUAGCCACGAGAGGGGUCGAUACCUCUCACAGCGAGUUCUCAUAGUUUAGGGCGUGGACUAC